AGAAAUUCUCCUGUCCACAAAAAUUAGCUAAAAUGCCCCAAAGAAAUUUAUUUAAAAGUUGCUAGAAAAUUGGGUGUGAUGGUUAUGACUGAAAGAUUGCCGUAGAACAAAAGAGGAUGGCGUUCCAAUGGCUAUUCAAUGGCCAUGGCCAUAGUAUCUAUCAUACAAACGCAAAAUCGCAUUCGUUUCAUAUCAAAAAAUAAUAACAAACUAUGGAAAGAAAGCAAUAUCGUCGGCAACGAGAAGUGUUGUAUGCAUGUAUAAUCGAAAUUAGUGGAAAACUCGUCGUAUUAGAGGCAAAAUGGCGGUUUGGAAAAUUAUGUACAUUCAAAUUCUUUGCCUUACUACAAAGUCAUUUGCCAGAAUAAAUUGGUGAAAUUGUUUGUAA